rnacentral:rRNA from 1 species
GACGAACGCUGGCGGCGUGCUUAACACAUGCAAGUCGAACGGAAAGGCCCUGCUUUUGUGGGGUGCUCGAGUGGCGAACGGGUGAGUAACACGUGAGUAACCUGCCCUUGACUUUGGGAUAACUUCAGGAAACUGGGGCUAAUACCGGAUAGGAGCUCCUGCUGCAUGGUGGGGUUGGAAAGUUUCGGCGGUUGGGGAUGGACUCGCGGCUUAUCAGCUUGUGGGUGGGGUAGUGGCUUACCAAGGCUUUGACGGGUAGCCGGCCUGAGAGGGUGACCGGCCACAUUGGGACUGAGAUACGGCCCAGACUCCUACGGGAGGCAGCAGUGGGGAAUAUUGCACAAUGGGCGGAAGCCUGAUGCAGCAACGCCGCGUGCGGGAUGACGGCCUUCGGGUUGUAAACCGCUUUCGCCUGUGACGAAGCGUGAGUGACGGUAAUGGGUAAAGAAGCACCGGCUAACUACGUG